rnacentral:rRNA from 1 species
UACGUAGGGCGCGAGCGUUGUCCGGAAUCACUGGGCGUAAAGGGCGCGUAGGCGGCUCAUGAAGGCUGUGGUGAAAGUCCGGGGCUCAACCUCGGAUCGGCCGUGGCGACUCGUGGGCUGGAGCACUGUAGAGGCGGGUGGAAUUCCGGGUGUAGCGGUGGAAUGCGUAGAGAUCCGGAAGAACACCAGUGGCGAAGGCGGCCCGCUGGGCAGUGGCUGACGCUGAGGCGCGACAGCGUGGGGAGCAAACAGG